GUGUGUGUGUGUGCAGGUUGCUGGUUGGAGCUCCCUUCGAGUCCACAGGGAAGCAGCAGACUGGUGAUGUGUUCAGGUGCCCGCUGGACACCAGAAACUCUGCAAACUGCACGAGACUGAAUCUCGGUAAACUCUCUCUGGACAACGUGUCUGAGAGGAAAGACAAGAUGAGACUCGGGAUGACGCUGACCUCCAACCCGAAGGACGGCAGCUUUGUGACCUGUGGUCCUCUCUGGUCCCAUGAGUGUGGAAGCUCCCUGUACAGCACCGGGAUCUGUUCCAGGGUCAGCCGCAACUUCAGACUGUCCCACACCAUCGCCCCGGCCCUGCAGAGUAAUCAGA